rnacentral:rRNA from 1 species
CAGGCUUAACACAUGCAAGUCGAGGGGCAGCAUGGUCUUAGCUUGCUAAGGCCGAUGGCGACCGGCGCACGGGUGAGUAACACGUAUCCAACCUGCCGUCUACUCUUGGACAGCCUUCUGAAAGGAAGAUUAAUACAAGAUGGCAUCGUGAGUUCACAUGUUCACAUGAUUAAAGGUAUUCCGGUAGACGAUGGGGAUGCGUUCCAUUAGAUAGUAGGCGGGGUAACGGCCCACCUAGUCUUCGAUGGAUAGGGGUUCUGAGAGGAAGGUCCCCCACAUUGGAACUGAGACACGGUCCAAACUCCUACGGGAGGCAGCAGUGAGGAAUAUUGGUCAAUGGGCGAGAGCCAGAACCAGCCAAGUAGCGUGAAGGAUGACUGCCCUAUGGGUUGUAAACUUCUUUUAUAAAGGAAUAAAGUCGGGUAUGCAUACCCGUUUGCAUGUACUUUAUGAAUAAGGAUCGGCUAACUCCGUGCCAGCAGCCGCGGUAAUACGGAGGAUCCGAGCGUUAUCCGGAUUUAUUGGGUUUAAAGGGAGCGUAGAUGGAUGUUUAAGUCAGUUGUGAAAGUUUGCGGCUCAACCGUAAAAUUGCAGUUGAUACUGGAUAUCUUGAGUGCAGUUGAGGCAGGCGGAAUUCGUGGUGUAGCGGUGAAAUGCUUAGAUAUCACGAAGAACUCCGAUUGCGAAGGCAGCCUGCUAAGCUGCAACUGACAUUGAGGCUCGAAAGUGUGGGUAUCAAACAGGAUUAGAUACCCUGGUAGUCCACACGGUAAACGAUGAAUACUCGCUGUUUGCGAUAUACAGCAAGCGGCCAAGCGAAAGCGUUAAGUAUUCCACCUGGGGAGUACGCCGGCAACGGUGAAACUCAAAGGAAUUGACGGGGGCCCGCACAAGCGGAGGAACAUGUGGUUUAAUUCGAUGAUACGCGAGGAACCUUACCCGGGCUUAAAUUGCAGAUGAAUUACGGUGAAAGCCGUAAGCCGCAAGGCAUCUGUGAAGGUGCUGCAUGGUUGUCGUCAGCUCGUGCCGUGAGGUGUCGGCUUAAGUGCCAUAACGAGCGCAACCCUUGUUGUCAGUUACUAACAGGUUCCGCUGAGGACUCUGACAAGACUGCCAUCGUAAGAUGUGAGGAAGGUGGGGAUGACGUCAAAUCAGCACGGCCCUUACGUCCGGGGCUACACACGUGUUACAAUGGGGGGUACAGAGGGCCGCUACCACGCGAGCGGAUGCCAAUCCCAAAAACCUCUCUCAGUUCGGACUGGAGUCUGCAACCCGACUCCACGAAGCUGGAUUCGCUAGUAAUCGCGCAUCAGCCACGGCGCGGUGAAUACGUUCCCGGGCCUUGUACACACCGCCCGUCAAGCCAUGGGAGCCGGGGGUACCUGAAGUGCGUAACCGCGAGGAGCGCCCUAGGGUAAAACUGGUGACUGGG